UUGUGUUUCUCCUGUUUGUCCUGCUGUGGUCUUUACACAUUGUGUUUCUCUCCUGUUUAUCCUGCUGUGGUCUACACAUUGUGUUUCUCCUGUUUGUCCUGCUGUGGUCUACACAUUGUGUUUCUCUCCUGUUUGUCCUGCUGUGGUCUACACAUUGUGUUUCUCCUGUUUGUCCUGCUGUGGUCUACACAUUGUGUUUCUCUCCUGUUUGUCCUGCUGUGGUCUUUACACAUUGUGUUUCUCCUGUUUGUCCUGCUGUGGUCUUUACACAUUGUGUUUCUCCUGUUUGUCCUGCUGUGGUCUUUACACAUUGUGUUUCUCCUGUUUGUCCUGCUGUGGUCUACACAUUGUGUUUCUCCUGUUUGUCCUGCUGUGGUCUUUACACAUUGUGUUUCUCUCCUGUGUUUCUCCUGUAGGUGGCAGCCAGGGCCGGGGUGUACGACCUUCUCAACCAGCUGGGUUUCUCAGAGUUUGAGAACCUUCGGGACACGCCACUUGCCAGGCUCCGCUGCCGGUGGCAACGACAGAACAACCAAUCGCGUCCCUUCAGGGGGGCGUUCAUCUGAGCUGAGGAGAGAUCACUGUGAACAGCCAGACUAUGGCUGCUUCUGAAGUGGUACUCUAUUCCCUGUACAGUUCACUACUUUAGACCAGGGCCCUCUGCCCUCUUUUGACCAGGGCCCUCUGCCCUCUUUUGACCAGGGCCCUCUGCACUCUAAAGGGACUAGGGUGCCAUUUUAUACAACCUAUGUCCUCCUGUGCUUUUUUUAUUUUAUUUUUAUAUAUAUACCUUUAAAAUGCAAUAAUGUUUUGUAUUUUGAAAUGUACUAAUGAUUUGUAAUUUUUACCCUCGUAUCACUCUGAUACUGUAUUAUGAUAAAUACUGCUUUUUUUUUCAAACCCACUACCAAUGUUAAUUAGUAUUUGAAUGGAUGUUUCAGUACUGUCAGUCGGUAUUUCCUAGUUCUGGUGCUUCUGCUCUGACUGCCGCCGAGAUUCAAGCUGACAUUUUAGUCUCCUUUGCUCUAUUGUUUCAUUGUUAAUAUAGGAGGAAUUCAUAUUUUGCCCCCUUGGUGAGAACUGCCUUACUAGUAUGGACCCUAUAGGUUUACUAGUAUGGACCCUAUAGGUUUACUUGUAUGGACCCUAUAGGUUUACUAGUUUGGACCCUAUAGGUUUACUUGUAUGGACCCUAUAGGUUUACUAGUUUGGACCCUAUAGGUUUACUUGUAUGGACCCUAUAGGUUUACUAGUAUGGACCCUAUAGGUUUACUAGUUUGGACCCUAUAGGUUUACUAGUAUGGACCCUAUAGGUUUACUUGUAUGGACCCUAUAGGUUUACUUGUAUGGACCCUAUAGGUUUACUAGAAUGGACCCUAUAGGUUUACUAGUAUGGACCCUAUAGGUUUACUAGAAUGGACCCUAUAGGUUUACUAGUAUGGACCCUAUAGGUUUACUAGUAUGGACCCUAUAGGUUUACUUGUAUGGACCCUAUAGGUUUACUAGUAUGGACCCUAUAGGUUUACUUGUAUGGACCCUAUAGGUUUACUAGUAUGGACCCUAUAGGUUUACUAGUAUGGACCCUAUAGGUUUACUAGUAUGGACCCUUUAGGUUUACUAGUAUGGACCCUAUAGGUUUACUUGUAUGGACCCUAUAGGUUUACUAGUAUGGACCCUAUAGGUUUACUAGUAUGGACCCUAUAGGUUUACUUGUAUGGACCCUAUAGGUUUACUUGUAUGGACCCUAUAGGUUUACUAGUAUGGACCCUAUAGGUUUACUAGUUUGGACCCUAUAGGUUUACUUGUAUGGACCCUAUAGGUUUACUAGUUUGGACCCUAUAGGUUUACUUGUAUGGACCCUAUAGGUUUACUAGUAUGGACCCUAUAGGUUUACUAGUAUGGACCCUAUAGGUUUGCUAGUAUGGACCCUAUAGGUUUACUAGUAUGGACCCUAUAGGUUUACUAGUAUGGACCCUAUAGGUUUACUAGUAUGGACCCUAUAGGUUUACUAGUAUGGACCCUAUAGGUUUACUAGUAUGGACCCUAUAGGUUUACUAGUAUGGACCCUAUAGGUUUACUAGUAUGGACCUUUAUCAGAGGAUUCACCUGGCAGAACAAACAGCUUAGGCAUUAGGGGUUGAAGUGCAGGGUUAAAGUAGGGUUACGUUUAGGGUUAGAAACCAGGGUUACGUUAAGGUUAGUUUGAGGUUAUGUUAAGGUUAGUUUGAGGUUACGGUAAGGUUAGUUUGAGGUUAUGUUAAGGUUAGUUUGAGGUUACGGUAAGGUUAGUUUGAGGUUAUGUUAAGGUUAGUUUGAGGUUACGUUAAGGUUAGUUUGAGGUUAUGUUAAGGUUAGUUUGAGGUUACGGUAAGGUUAGUUUGAGGUUAAGGUUAGUUUGAGGUUACGGUAAGGUUAGUUUGAGGUUAUGUUAAGGUUAGUUUGAGGUUAAGGUUAGUUUGAGGUUAUGUUAAGGUUAGUUUGAGGUUACGGUAAGGUUAGUUUGAGGUUACGGUAAGGUUAGUUUGAGUUUACGUUAAGGUUCGUUUGAGGUUACGGUAAGGUUAGUUUGAGGUUACGGUAAGGUUAGUUUGAGGUUACGGUAAGGUUAGUUUGAGGUUACGGUAAGGUUAGUUUGAGGUUACGGUAAGGUUAGUUUGAGGUUAAGGUUAGUUUGAGGUUACGGUAAGGUUAGUUUGAGGUUAUGUUAAGGUUAGUUUGAGGUUAAGGUUAGUUUGAGGUUAUGUUAAGGUUAGUUUGAGGUUACGGUAAGGUUAGUUUGAGGUUACGGUAAGGGUUAGAGUUAGGGAAAGGCUUCAACUUUUGGGCUGGCGCAACUCCACCUCCGUAAAUAUAUCUGCCAGUUAAACAAACACCACCUUAAUCAGAACACAGUAUUAGUAUUAGUCUGUACUGGAACGUAUUGGAAAGUUUCUCCAGUUUAAAAUAUAGCAGUGUCUCCAACUCCACUCCCAGGUAUUCGUUGGCCAAACUGCUGUAGAUGCUGCCAAAGCUAAGCUUCUGCUCUGUGUUUUACUGCUGUUUGCAUGUGCCUCAGUCCUCACUUCUUCACAGCGGUUUCUCCUCUCAUUAAAGGGUUUUAAUCUG